CCUACGGGCGGCUGCAGUGGGGAAUAUUGGACAAUGGGGGGAACCCUGAUCCAGCCAUGCCGCGUGUGUGAAGAAGGCCCUCGGGUUGUAAAGCACUUUCAGUGAGGAAGAACGCCUGGUGGUUAAUACCCAUCAGGAAAGACAUCACUCACAGAAGAAGCACCGGCUAACUCCGUGCCAGCAGCCGCGGUAAUACGGAGGGUGCGAGCGUUAAUCGGAAUUACUGGGCGUAAAGCGCGCGUAGGUGGCUUGAUAAGCCGGUUGUGAAAGCCCCGGGCUCAACCUGGGAACGGCAUCCGGAACUGUCAAGCUAGAGUGCAGGAGAGGAAGGUAGAAUUCCCGGUGUAGCGGUGAAAUGCGUAGAGAUCGGGAGGAAUACCAGUGGCGAAGGCGGCCUUCUGGACUGACACUGACACUGAGGUGCGAAAGCGUGGGUAGCAAACAGGAUUAGCUACCCCUGUAGUC
rnacentral:rRNA from 1 species